UUUUAACAAAUGUCUAAAAAUUUAUUUAUGUUGGAAAUCUGUGUUUAAACUACUUCAAUUAUUUGGUUAGUAUGUGGUGUUCUUGAGGUAAAUAUCAUAGAUUUGAUAACAGUAUGUGGUAAUUUAUUUCACCUAGAAAAACUGGCUAGGGAAUAUACAACCACUUCCAGCCAUUCUGUAUGCAGGUGAAUCUUGGUUUCCCUGUGGGCAAUGAUGUAUGGAACUUACGAACAAUAUGGGCAGAUCAACAAACAGCACAUAAAGGUGAGUAAAUAACAUUAGCCUGAUAUUUAUGCAAAUUACUGUUUUUCUUAUCUAUUUCAGCAAGAU
rnacentral:lncRNA from 1 species